rnacentral:tRNA from 1 species
GCCUGGGUAGCUGAGUCGGUUAAGCAUCAGACUUCAGCUCAGGUCAUGACCUCAUGGUUCAUGAGUUCAAACCCCACAUCAGGCU